GGGAGUAUAGGUCAGUGGAAGAACAUUCGACUGCAGAUCGAGAGGUUCCUGGUUCAUGUCCGGGUGCCCCCC
rnacentral:tRNA from 1 species